CGCCGCGGCCCCACCCUCCCGCAUCAGCACCGGCUGGGUGGGUGCGGAGUGCGCCAGCGGCCAAGUCAAGACUCCUUGAAUGCUCAGGAAGGUGUGACUUGCAGAGGAGUUGAUUCCUUCUUAUGUACAUUUACUGGAGAAGUUUACAGCAGGAGACUGGGGUCUGAGACACACGCAUCUUUGUGUGCCCCAAAGAAUAAAGCCCUCAAAGGAUGUGAAGCCUGAACUCACUUCAAAUGCUGGAAAGGCCCUUUCCUUAGCUGAGCUGUGGAGGAACCAGGACUCCUGUGGCACUGCCCUAACGAGGAGGCAGUGCUGCCAGAUUCAGAAAAAUAUUUGAAGAAUCACAUAGUCAAAAGCAAAAAUCCAGAAAUGGUCAAGAGAACUACGAUUAUUGAGCCUCACUGAGUGUUCACACUGGUCUGCAAGACAGCUUUGAUUCAGCUGAUUUCAGCCAGGCUCACCCCGACUUUGCAGGGCGCUGCGAACCCCAGCCUUCAGGUCGGGUUCAGCAUCCAGCAGUGCCCUGGAAAAGUGGCUGUGAAGUUACUUGCAAGACUGCAUUGAACCCGGGCGAGACACUUCUCAGGGGAGCUGUCCAGCUACAUUCUCUGAGUGAAGGCAAGUGUAGUCACUUUUCUCUGCUAUGUUAAUAUGUGCCAUGAGUUUUAAAAGACUCUCCCUUCAGUCAGCGGAUGACAUCUGCUGCUUAGCAAGAAGGCAAAGCUCCGUUUGUCUAAUCAGCUACAUGUUGGGAUUUGAAAACAUGGCACCAAGACCCCUGAAAGAUAUGUUAGAAACAAGUUUUCUGGUUUGGGAUUCAUGAGAAUUUCUUGGCUCCCAAGCAGACCCAACUUUAACAGUGACAGGGGCAGACAUGUGGUGGAAUGUGGGGAAGAUUCUGGGAGCACCACCUGGCUAUGAGAAGCUUAGGAUAUUUUCCCAUGGUUAAAAAUAAAAUAAAGUCGAUGUUUUGGAAAGUGGUGAGAAACAGAUGGGGGUGAAGGAUGAGUACCCCCAUUGCAUUGUUGAGGACCCUGAAGUUUACUCACAUAUCAGGGCUCAUAAGUGAAUUGAAGAAGGAAGCCAGGUGUCUUUGAGCCAGGUUGGCUCCACAGCAGCCAGACUACCCUGCUGCUGGGGAAGUCACAGAAGAGGCUCUGGCAUAAGCACCAAUUCUUAGGAGGCCACAUAGUCAUUCUUCUUGAUGCUCAUUGUUUUUAAGGCCCUGGGUGAGUGGAAGAAGAUCUUUUGUUAUGUGUGUCCUUGUCACCACUGAUUUCUGGGAUUCCACAUUAUUUUGGCUUAUUUCUCCAUUGAUAUAAUUGUAACUUGUAAUGUUAGAACUCUGGGAGAAUAAAUUCCAAAUGAGCUCUUGAUGUCAAUUAAUAGGUUCAUGCCAAUUUUCUUGGGUUUGGAGAUGUGAAGAUACACAAAAGAAAGUACAGUCUUUGCUUUAAAGCAGCUCACAGACUAAUGGAGUGGAUGCCACUGAACCAAAGAUUCCAGUAAAGUAUGAAAGGGGUCUAGAGAUUUAUGUCCAAGUUGUUCUGGGGCCAUUUAGAGGAGGUGGGAGUACAGGAUGAUGGUAGGGGAAGGCUUCCCAGAAAAAAGAAAUCGAGUUCAGGUUUUGCUGGAAAAAAAAAAGUGACCGGGGGAUAAGUAGAAAGAAUUGUAGAAAAAGGGAAGAACAGGUGCAGGCUCUCAGGCUCCCAGCCAUCAGCUAUCCCAAGUAUUUCUUGAAUUGUUGUGACAUACCAGGCAUUGCCCUUCAUGCUGCAGUACAGUGAUGUUCUCUAAAUAAGGCUCAGUUGGAAUAUUUCAAUCUCUCAGCAGUUUGCUUUCCUCACCUUGCCCCUUAAAAAUUCCCCGGCUUGUGGGAAUGGGAAUGGAAUUGUUGGAAAAGGGCAGAGUAGAUUUUAAAAAUCACUUCAUUCCCUGUUGUGUGGGAAAGUUUCCCAGGAAGAGACUGCCAAGCCCAGGAAGAUACAUAUAUAUGCAAAUUCCCCGGCAAAAUGUUUUCUAGCCCCUCAACCUCAAUCUACAGAAGUUUCCGUUAUCAUAGGCUACAAUCUGAUGCAGUGUGUGGUCCUACCCUGACCCUAUUUCAAGGGAGUUUUUCACAGACCUCAUUACCACUUAAGUUUUUAGGAAGGGGCUUGAAAACAGAAGGAGAUAGACUAAAAGACAUUGUACAGGGACAGCGGGGAGCCACAGCCCUGCCUAAAGAAUGAAAGUUGGUUGUUCUGGAAAGAUGUACAAAUAAGCCAGAAGAAUAAAAAAUGCUCACAUUUGCAGAGCUCUUCACCAUUUAAAAACCAAUCCAUUCCUCAUCAUGGGAAAUUAUCCCCAAUUUGAAGAUAUGAAAAUUGAGGCUUGGGGAGAUUGAAUGAGUUGCUACUAAAAGGACCUGGACCUGAACCCAGAGCUUUGACUCCAGAUCUGCUGUUUCCUUCACGUAUAUCAUUGUUAU
rnacentral:lncRNA from 1 species